rnacentral:rRNA from 1 species
GACGAACGCUGGCGGCGUGCUUAACACAUGCGAGUCGAACGGAAAGGCCCUGCUUGUGUGGGGUGCUCGAGUGGCGAACGGGUGAGUAACACGUGAGUAACCUGCCCUUGACUUUGGGAUAACUUCAGGAAACUGGGGCUAAUACCGGAUAGGAUCUCCUGCUGCAUGGUGGGGGUUGGAAAGUUUCGGCGGUUGGGGAUGGACUCGCGGCUUAUCAGCUUGUUGGUGGGGUAGUGGCUUACCAAGGCUUUGACGGGUAGCCGGCCUGAGAGGGUGACCGGCCACAGUGGGACUGAGAUACGGCCCAGAGUGCUACGGGAGGCAGCGGUGGGGAAUAUUGCACAAUGGGCGGAAGCCUGAUGCAGCAACGCCGCGUGCGGGAUGACGGCCUUCGGGUUGUAAACCGCUUUCGCCUGUGACGAAGCGUGAGUGACGGUAAUGGGUAAAGAAGCACCGGCUAACUACGUG